rnacentral:sRNA from 1 species
ACUCCGAUGGCACUGGCGAGAGGAAAGGCUGCGAAGCGCAGAGCGAGGCUGCGGGGCCCCAGGAUGGGGGACAGGAGGCUGCGGGGCCUCAGGACUUGCACCUUCAAGAUCCCCUGUGUUUACCCAGCUGGAGGAUGAUGAACAGUCAUGGGUGCCCAGCUGGGUGGAUGUGACUCCAGUCAGCAGAGCAGAAGCCAGGAGAGGUUUUGGUCUUGUCUGCCAUCUCUACCAUGAUUUUCAGGCCCCGCAUGUUCCUGCCUCUCUGGCCUGUGUCUCCUCAUUGCCCUUCUCUGUAUCUGUGCAGAGCUGUCUACUGUUGGCGACUCAGUGCGUGUCUUGAAAUGUGCACAUAUCCUUAAACAGAUGGUUUGUGUAGAGUGGAGGAUGAGAGAGCCCAUCCUGAGCAUCUAAAGAGCUACAGAGUCAUCCAGCACCAGGACACUCAUAGUGAGGGGAAACCAAGAAGGCACACUGAGCAUGGGGCAGCCUUCCCACCUGGUUCCAGUUGUGGGCAACAGCAAGAAGUCCAUGUGGCAGAGAAGCUGUUCAAAUGCAGUGACUGUG